rnacentral:rRNA from 1 species
GCAAGGUCACUUUCCCUUCGGGGCAUUGGAGACAGGUGGUGCAUGGUUGUCGUCAGCUCGUGUCGUGAGAUGUUGGGUUAAGUCCCGCAACGAGCGCAACCCCUAUUUCCAGUAGCCAGCAAGAAAGAUGGGAACUCUGGAGGGACUGCCCGGGAUAACUGGGAGGAAGGCGGGGAUGACGUCAAAUCAUCAUGCCCCUUAUGAUCAGGGCUACACACGUGCUACAAUGGCGUAAACAAAGGGAAGCGAAGUGGUGACACGAAGCAAAUCCGAAAAACAACGUCUCAGUUCGGAUUGUAGUCUGCAACUCGACUACAUGAAGCUGGAAUCGCUAGUAAUCGCGAAUCAGAAUGUCGCGGUGAAUACGUUCCCGGGUCUUGUACACACCGCCCGUCACACCAUGGGAGUCGGAAAUGCCCGAAGUCAGUGACCCAACCGAGAGGAGGGAGCUGCCGAAGGUGGAGCCGGUAACUGGGGUGAAGUCGUAACAAGGUAGCCGUAUCGGAAGGUGC